rnacentral:rRNA from 1 species
CGCCCUUAGAGUUUGAUCCUGGCUCAGGAUGAACGCUAGCUACAGGCUUAACACAUGCAAGUCGAGGGGCAGCAUGGUCUUAGCUUGCUAAGGCCGAUGGCGACCGGCGCACGGGUGAGCAACACGUAUCCAACCUGCCGUCUACUCUUGGACAGCCUUCUGAAAGGAAGAUUAAUACAAGAUGGCAUCAUGAGUCCGCAUGUUCACAUGAUUAAAGGUAUUCCGGUAGACGAUGGGGAUGCGUUCCAUUAGAUAGUAGGCGGGGUAACGGCCCACCUAGUCUUCGAUGGAUAGGGGUUCUGAGAGGAAGGUCCCCCACAUUGGAACUGAGACACGGUCCAAACUCCUACGGGAGGCAGCAGUGAGGAAUAUUGGUCAAUGGGCGAGAGCCUGAACCAGCCAAGUAGCGUGAAGGAUGACUGCCCUAUGGGUUGUAAACUUCUUUUAUAAAGGAAUAAAGUCGGGUAUGCAUACCCGUUUGCAUGUACUUUAUGAAUAAGGAUCGGCUAACUCCGUGCCAGCAGCCGCGGUAAUACGGAGGAUCCGAGCGUUAUCCGGAUUUAUUGGGUUUAAAGGGAGCGUAGAUGGAUGUUUAAGUCAGUUGUGAAAGUUUGCGGCUCAACCGUAAAAUUGCAGUUGAUACUGGAUAUCUUGAGUGCAGUUGAGGCAGGCGGAAUUCGUGGUGUAGCGGUGAAAUGCUUAGAUAUCACGAAGAACUCCGAUUGCGAAGGCAGCCUGCUAAGCUGCAACUGACAUUGAGGCUCGAAAGUGUGGGUAUCAAACAGGAUUAGAUACCCUGGUAGUCCACACGGUAAACGAUGAAUACUCGCUGUUUGCGAUAUACGGCAAGCGGCCAAGCGAAAGCGUUAAGUAUUCCACCUGGGGAGUACGCCGGCAACGGUGAAAC